AACGGGUGGUAAUGCCGGAUGCUCCAGUUGAUCGCAUGGUCUUCUGGGAAAGCUUUCGCGGUAUGGGAUGGGGUCGCGUCCUAUCAGCUUGACGGCGGGGUAACGGCCCACCGUGGCUUCGACGGGUAGCCGGCCUGAGAGGGCGACCGGCCACAUUGGGACUGAGAUACGGCCCAGACUCCUACGGGAGGCAGCAGUGGGGAAUAUUGCACAAUGGGCGCAAGCCUGAUGCAGCGACGCCGCGUGAGGGAUGGAGGCCUUCGGGUUGUAAACCUCUUUUAUCGGGGAGCAAGCGAGAGUGAGUUUACCCGUUGAAUAAGCACCGGCUAACUACGUGCCAGCAGCCGCGGUAAUACGUAGGGUGCAAGCGUUAUCCGGAAUUAUUGGGCGUAAAGGGCUCGUAGGCGGUUCGUCGCGUCCGGUGUGAAAGUCCAUCGCUUAACGGUGGAUCCGCGCCGGGUACGGGCGGGCUUGAGUGCGGUAGGGGAGACUGGAAUUCCCGGUGUAACGGUGGAAUGUGUAGAUAUCGGAAAAGAACACCACGG
rnacentral:rRNA from 1 species